rnacentral:rRNA from 1 species
AGCGUACACGGUGGAUGCCCUGGCAGUCAGAGGCGAUGAAGGACGUGCUAAUCUGCGAUAAGCGUCGGUGAGGUGAUAUGAACCGUUAUAACCGGCGAUUUCCGAAUGGGGAAACCCAGUGUGUUUCGACACACUAUCAUUAACUGAAUCCAUAGGUUAAUGAGGCGAACCGGGGGAACUGAAACAUCUAAGUACCCCGAGGAAAAGAAAUCAACCGAGAUUCCCCCAGUAGCGGCGAGCGAACGGGGAGGAGCCCAGAGCCUGAAUCAGUGUGUGUGUUAGUGGAAGCGUCUGGAAAGGCGUGCGAUACAGGGUGACAGCCCCGUACACAAAAAUGCACAUAUUGUGAGCUCGAUGAGUAGGGCGGGACACGUGGUAUCCUGUCUGAAUAUGGGGGGACCAUGUCUGAAUAUGGGGGGACCAUCCUCCAAGGCUAAAUACUCCUGACUGACCGAUAGUGAACCAGUACCGUGAGGGAAAGGCGAAAAGAACCCCGGCGAGGGGAGUGAAAAAGAACCUGAAACCGUGUACGUACAAGCAGUGGGAGCCUCUUAAUGGGGUGACUGCGUACCUUUUGUAUAAUGGGUCAGCGACUUAUAUUCUGUAGCAAGGUUAACCGAAUAGGGGAGCCGAAGGGAAACCGAGUCUUAACUGGGCGUUAAGUUGCAGGGUAUAGACCCGAAACCCGGUGAUCUAGCCAUGGGCAGGUUGAAGGUUGGGUAACACUAACUGGAGGACCGAACCGACUAAUGUUGAAAAAUUAGCGGAUGACUUGUGGCUGGGGGUGAAAGGCCAAUCAAACCGGGAGAUAGCUGGUUCUCCCCGAAAGCUAUUUAGGUAGCGCCUCGUGAAUUCAUCUCCGGGGGUAGAGCACUGUUUCGGCAAGGGGGUCAUCCCGACUUACCAACCCGAUGCAAACUGCGAAUACCGGAGAAUGUUAUCACGGGAGACACACGGCGGGUGCUAACGUCCGUCGUGAAGAGGGAAACAACCCAGACCGCCAGCUAAGGUCCCAAAGUCAUGGUUAAGUGGGAAACGAUGUGGGAAGGCCCAGACAGCCAGGAUGUUGGCUUAGAAGCAGCCAUCAUUUAAAGAAAGCGUAAUAGCUCACUGGUCGAGUCGGCCUGCGCGGAAGAUGUAACGGGGCUAAACCAUGCACCGAAGCUGCGGCAGCGACACUAUGUGUUGUUGGGUAGGGGAGCGUUCUGUAAGCCUGUGAAGGUGGCCUGUGAGGGUUGCUGGAGGUAUCAGAAGUGCGAAUGCUGACAUAAGUAACGAUAAAGCGGGUGAAAAGCCCGCUCGCCGGAAGACCAAGGGUUCCUGUCCAACGUUAAUCGGGGCAGGGUGAGUCGACCCCUAAGGCGAGGCCGAAAGGCGUAGUCGAUGGGAAACAGGUUAAUAUUCCUGUACUUGGUGUUACUGCGAAGGGGGGACGGAGAAGGCUAUGUUGGCCGGGCGACGGUUGUCCCGGUUUAAGCGUGUAGGCUGGUUUUCCAGGCAAAUCCGGAAAACCAAGGCUGAGGCGUGAUGACGAGGCACUACGGUGCUGAAGCGACAAAUGCCCUGCUUCCAGGAAAAGCCUCUAAGCAUCAGGUAACAUCAAAUCGUACCCCAAACCGACACAGGUGGUCAGGUAGAGAAUACCAAGGCGCUUGAGAGAACUCGAAAUACCAAGGCGCUUGAGAGAACUCGGGUGAAGGAACUAGGCAAAAUGGUGCCGUAACUUCGGGAGAAGGCACGCUGAUAUGUAGGUGAAGCGACUUGCUCGUGGAGCUGAAAUCAGUCGAAGAUACCAGCUGGCUGCAACUGUUUAUUAAAAACACAGCACUGUGCAAACACGAAAGUGGACGUAUACGGUGUGACGCCUGCCCGGUGCCGGAAGGUUAAUUGAUGGGGUUAGCGGCAACGCGAAGCUCUUGAUCGAAGCCCCGGUAAACGGCGGCCGUAACUAUAACGGUCCUAAGGUAGCGAAAUUCCUUGUCGGGUAAGUUCCGACCUGCACGAAUGGCGUAAUGAUGGCCAGGCUGUCUCCACCCGAGACUCAGUGAAAUUGAACUCGCUGUGAAGAUGCAGUGUACCCGCGGCAAGACGGAAAGACCCCGUGAACCUUUACUAUAGCUUGACACUGAACAUUGAGCCUUGAUGUGUAGGAUAGGUGGGAGGCUUUGAAGUGUGGACGCCAGUCUGCAUGGAGCCGACCUUGAAAUACCACCCUUUAAUGUUUGAUGUUCUAACGUUGGCCCGUAAUCCGGGUUGCGGACAGUGUCUGGUGGGUAGUUUGACUGGGGCGGUCUCCUCCUAAAGAGUAACGGAGGAGCACGAAGGUUGGCUAAUCCUGGUCGGACAUCAGGAGGUUAGUGCAAUGGCAUAAGCCAGCUUGACUGCGAGCGUGACGGCGCGAGCAGGUGCGAAAGCAGGUCAUAGUGAUCCGGUGGUUCUGAAUGGAAGGGCCAUCGCUCAACGGAUAAAAGGUACUCCGGGGAUAACAGGCUGAUACCGCCCAAGAGUUCAUAUCGACGGCGGUGUUUGGCACCUCGAUGUCGGCUCAUCACAUCCUGGGGCUGAAGUAGGUCCCAAGGGUAUGGCUGUUCGCCAUUUAAAGUGGUACGCGAGCUGGGUUUAGAACGUCGUGAGACAGUUCGGUCCCUAUCUGCCGUGGGCGCUGGAGAACUGAGGGGGGCUGCUCCUAGUACGAGAGGACCGGAGUGGACGCAUCACUGGUGUUCGGGUUGUCAUGCCAAUGGCACUGCCCGGUAGCUAAAUGCGGAAGAGAUAAGUGCUGAAAGCAUCUAAGCACGAAACUUGCCCCGAGAUGAGUUCU